ACAGCAAACAAAGGCAUAAGCUCCUGUUGGCAUUUACCUCAUUUAUCCUAAUCUAGCAGGCAUGGAUGGCAGUGGCAGGAAAGAUAAGGCAUGGUUUCUGGCACCCAUGCUGACAGCUUCCUAGAUACCUCAAGCACACCUUGAUUGUUUCUGCCUUGAUAGUAUUCUCCAACUUGAGUCUGCUACACAUGCUGCUAGAUUUACUCCUUUUUCCUAAACAAUUAGGAAAAGAAGAAAGCACAAAGCACAACCCACUGCUUAUUUUCAAGUAACAUGCUUUCAUAUCUUCCAGUCUCUCCAAUACUUCUGUGUCCCAACAGCUAAACAAUCUGAGUAUCUGAAUACGUCUCUAAACUUCUAAUAACAUGGCAGUACGUUUUCCUGGAGAGCUAAUUUGGGAGGGUAGGGGAGCAACAGCUCCCAAAGAAGCAAUUCACAAGAAUAACAUUAAAGCAACUUUGACUGCUAUGAACAUCCCAUUGGAACAGGAGAUGCUAACUAGGGAAUGAUCCCUCAAGGGAAGUCAUGCAAUGCUGAAGCAUCUGAAUAAGGAGCAUCAUUUCUAAUACUCUGUGUAAUCAGGACACCAUCCUCCUGAAUGGUUCUUUUCAGAGCAAAACAGAAAUGAUCUUCACAUUGGCAGUCUCUUAUUAUGGUCACAACACUUCUAUUUUCCUACUAUAAAUGACUUUUAAUAAGUUGCACUUUAAAUUCUUCAAAUAAUUUCUAACAACUACAUUGAAUCUGAAUUUGUGGAAGUCAUCAAAUAUGUCCUGCAAGAGAGAGGUAAAUGGAUACUCUACAGUCAUUUGUUACACUGCCUACAACUUUUUGUUGCUCUUUCUAAAAACAACACAGGAAAGUUUUUCAAAAGAACAAAGUGAUCUUGGGUCUCCAACUUAAAAGACUAAAUUGAUUUUCAGAGCACAGCUGCUCAGCAUUUCCUAGAAAUAAAUUCUUUUCUGAUUUGCAGCAAUGGAUAGUUGUGGCUGCUGGAAAGCAAUGUCACAUUUCACCUGUGACCUUCUCUUGAAGUCUCCUUCCACAUGGCCCUUGAGAUAUCUAGGAUGUUAUAUGUGGUUGAUGGCUAUGUAAAAACUGUGCUGUUGUAGCCCACAAGAUCAAGAGAGCUGGCCAACCUGCAGUGUGGCAAUUAAUAAAAAUAUUCAGGCAUUUUCCUUGGUAUUGUACAAGCAUAGUUUAGAGAGUGGCAAGUGAACAUAUGGUUGUUAAUAGCAAGAGAGAGGAAUGUCAACCAGCAUCACUCUGAUAAAAACGCACACCGUAAUUUCUAGGAAUCUGUAGCAUUAGUAGCACAGUGUUGGAACUCUGUAACACAAGUGGCUUGGCAUUUGUGGGCAAGGAUGAUGUGGUUGUAUCAUGGGCACACAAGGGAGGUCAGAGGACAUAUUUAAAAUGUUUAUGGAUGAACUUGGAAGCAUUUUAAGACUGCUUAAACAAGGUUGACUUUACAGCUUUAUUCAUUCAUAGAAGCCUGGUGGAUUAAGAGGAUGCUACAGCUGUGCGACUGCUGUAUGGUACUGACUACCCUGCAAAGGGUAAGAAAAUUAAAGAGUUUGUGUGCAUGUCUCCGUGGAGGACAAAGAGAAGCCACUGUCUGGUUGUGAGAAAGCAGGACAGAGGCCUUUCCGCGACUGUGAGACUACACCUCUCCUCUAGGCGGUCUACAGGAGACAAAGACUGGUGAGUACUGAAAGGUACUUUACUCAUUGAAGAAAGAGUGAGAGAAAGCACAGUAAGAUCUGCUGCAUCAUUUUCCUAACAGACUGGAAAAGUCUACCAAGUUUAGCAAAGAGCAUUGUACCAAAACAGACUGACAAAAAUACCUGCAGCUCGCUGGGUGUGUUUAUGGGUUCUGCUCAAACGAGAUGCCUUGCCUGGGAUUUGAGGACACUUUUUGAGUGGGAUUUCAAGGGUUGUUGGAGAAAGGAGAUACAAGUUGUCUCCAUCCUGAACUCCUCACGCAUUAGAAGGAUAUGUAGAAAUCCAUGUGGGCAUAGGCUGUUUCCUAGCACUAGCAAUGUGUGUCAGAGCUGCCCUGUACUGCUGCCACACACCCAUGCACAAGAACCAGUGCUUUCCAGAAGGACCAGGUAGAAUUACUGGGCACGUGUAAGCCAGUCACACAGCUGCCAAACAGAUGGGCCAUGUUCCAAAAGUCUACGCAGGCACAGACCCACACAUUUCUUUUUACAAAACUUGGUCAAAAUACUCUUAGCCUCAAAUAAGAUAUGGCUGCCACUUCAGAAAAAUUACUCUCAUGUCUGUACUGGACAUGCUUUUUAUACCACUAGCUUGUUCCCACGUUGGGCUGACAAAGCAGCAGGGGGGAGAGACGUGUCCUUUUCAAAACUGCUGCUGCUUUACCAGCCACUGCUACAAGAUAGGAGCUUGUGGCCAUGAGGAAAUUAUAAACAGACUUUUAAAAUUUGAUUUUCUCAGCACACAUAAGAAAAGCAGUGCUGUCUUCCAAUGUGCUUUCAACAAUAACGUUUACUGGGAAGUGUAUGCGUCUGAGUGUGCACUGUGUGCAGUGUGUGUUUAGUUUGGUUUCCCUUUUUUUUGACAUGUGAAAUGUCUUCUGGGAAAAUUUAUAUGGAUGUAAGUGAAAUACUGUGCUAAUAGGAGCAUGCAGUCACCAUCAUCAUCAGUAGAACCCAAGUCAAAACAGGAAUAAAUAAUGUCUACUUGUUUUCCUAGAGAAAAUAAAUAAAUAAUAAUCUGCUUAAUUGAUUUCUUCCUUCUUCCAGCUAAAAUUCUGCCAGCUAAAAUUGACUUUAGAAACGCUUUUGCAAAGGGACCCUAUUUAUCAGGCACCCAUGGCCAAUUGAAAAGAACAUCACCACAGUUAGGCUAGUUAUAAAAUGUUUCGUUAGCGGGCUACAAAUAUCAAACUUGGAGUUGGAGUUAGGUGGCAAAAUAAAUUGCAACUGGAAAUUCAUUCUGGAGAACUUUUAUGUAUUUUCAAAGAUACAGCUUUGAAAACUUCAGAAGAGGACAAAAAAUUCUUGAGUACAUUUUUCCAGAAUGAUAGUAUAUUACUCUCUCCCCGGGAAAUUAAUCAGAAUGCAAUCAAAAUACUUUUCCAGCUGCUGAAGUCUCUUCCUCCCUUGUGGAUCUGUCUCACAUAAAUUAAAUCUUACAUUCAAAGUCAUGUUAACUGGACAGCUGUUCUCGUAAGCUGCAUGAAGUGGCAAGUAUCUGCUCUUAUCUUGUUGUGCUUUCUAUAGCCCUACUUUAUGGGACUUCCUUACACAGAGAUCACACAAGGGAGGAAAAAAACCCAAACCCAUAGCUAACAUUUUCUACAAAUCAAGCAGAAACUUUGUAAGUGCCAGUGGAAUGUGAGCCUCGCUUACUCGUGACUUUUGCUGUGGCAUUUCCACCCUACAAACUGGGAUCAAUGGAGAUUGCCAAUCUUUCCACUCAUGCUUUACUCACAAGGCUUUCCUCAGAGAAAAGCACCCAAGCCCUGGGUAUUUACUUACGUUUACACAUAUGUCUCUACCAUUCUUCAUCCGCAUUCUACAACGCAGAGACACUGUCGAGUUGGAUUACCUUACCCGCUACACUAAGGCUGCCCACCCUGGAGAGUGAAACGAGGCAAUUUUCAACAGCAUGGAGCAAUUCCGCACAACUCUUUGGGUAGGAAAUGAGGAACAAUUACAGCUGCAGGGGAAAUAUAGGGCAGGCAGAAUGUAAUUACGCAGGCUGGAAUAUGGCCAGGACACUGGGGCUUAACGUUCUUUCUUACUCUUGUGAAAGGAACAACAAGAAUACUUGUGCCACAACAGCCAGACUCUAGUUUUGCUUUAUCUGAACCACAGCACCUCCCAUGGCACAGUUCCAGCACUGUCGUAGCCAUAGGCUGGUGUUGCUCCAAGGGGACUAGUUGCCUUUUGAUGUUCAUUGCAUUAGGUAUGGAGACUGAGGAAAGAGCCAAAUCGAUUUAGAAGUGAGAGCAGAAUCUUCUAGGUAAUUUAAAUGGACAUGCUUUAAAACUACAAAGCAGCCACUGAAACAAGCGGCUGUUGAGAAUCCAGAUUCUCCAGGUGACUUUCUUUUUAUGUAUUGAUGUCUAACUUCUUGAGGUAUAAAAUCUGAAGGCAGACUAGUCAGGUAAUACUGAUGUAUUGGUCAGACACUACCUUUGUCUUUAAGGAACACUAUGAAGAAAUGAGGGCUUGGGUACGCAGAAGUAUAAGAAGUGUAAGAAGUUCUUCUCCUAGGGAAGAACAUACUUAUUGCCAGAGGGAAACUGUAAUGGUGCUACUUUGUUAUUGGACCUUUCUAAGCCUGUUCAAGGGUGUGAGAAGGAUGGAUAUUGUGCUUAUACAGUCAUCUUUACAGAGCCUGAUUCCCCUCUGUAUUAAUAAGAAACCAAGCCUCUUUCAAACCAAGCAGUAUACACACGGAGCUUAAGAUUCUGCUCAACAACUCACACUGCUUCAACACAGCGAGAUGUCAGUUGCACAAACAGGAGAAACAUGCUAAUGAGAUUCAAUUAAGCAGUAUAAAAGAACUCAUUCAAUUGACCUAGUGCAUUUCUAAGCACAUUCCCC